AGGUCAACUACGAGCAGGCGGCGAAGGAAGCCAUGCUGGAGGCGGCCAGCGAAGACAAGUGCCAAUCCCACGACUCGUUUGAGUUUGAGGAGAAACGCAGCAAACGAUUAAAAUGCGAUUCAUCAGAAAAGAACGCCCCAGAAAUGUCUGCAUGUGCGGACACCAAGUACAAAUCUGUGUUUGUGAUGUCAGAGGAAAAGGACGAAUGUAUAAUUGCAACUGAGGUGUAACGAGCCACCAGUGGGCUGCCCGUUGCUCAUUUGCUCUAUGGGAGAGUUUUAAUACUCCUUCAGAUGCUGCUCUAAACCCUAGGGGGAGGUGUCCCGCCUUGAGACUGCUGCUGAUACUGAGACGUUUAACUGAUAUUCAGAGUGAGCUGGUUCUCUACUGGAAAAAAAUAAGCGCAGGCAGCGUGUGGGAUAAGAACUGGCGGGGUAUAAAUACAAAGUUUACGGUUGAAAGUAAACUGCCACUUAGCUUUCUGUUCUGCCUUUUAUCGGGGAGUAAAAAUAGUAAAAAAAUAUAAACGGACACUGUCUCGUGGCGCUAACGUGCGACGCUACGAUUUUUUUGUUUUUGCAACAUUUGCACCCAGGCCUUUUCUCUAACCCACACGUGUUGCUGAGCGCAGGAACUGCAUCAAACGGUGGAUGUUUGGCCAUACUGGCCUGUUCUUCUCGAAGCUGUUUUUGGGCUGUGCACCCAUCGCUGCACUGUGAAGACUGUAAUGUAUUGAUCGCUGUGUACACUGAAGUGCGUUUUCCUUCCCUAAGCCCUCCAAAACCAUUUAUGACAUAGUAUUGUUCAACUCUUUUCAGUUUCUUUUCGGGACAUGAAAACUUUUGUCUUAAUUAAAUAAAUAAAAUGUUGCUUUUUGAUACAGAUUU